UACGAAGGGUGCAAGCGUUGUUCGGAUUCACUGGGCGUAAAGGGUGCGUAGGCGGUCGGGUAAGUCUGACGUGAAAUCUCCGAGCUUAACUCGGAAACGGCGUCGGAUACUAUUCGGCUGGAGGGUUGGAGGGGGGACUGGAAUACUUGGUGUAGCAGUGAAAUGCGUAGAUAUCAAGUAGAACACCGGUGGCGAAGGCGGGUCUCUGGACAGUUCCUGACGCUCAUGCACGAAAGCCAGGGGAGCAAACGGG
rnacentral:rRNA from 1 species